CCCGCUGAACUUAAGCAUAUCAAUAAGCGGAGGAAAAGAAACCAACAGGGAUUGCCUUAGUAACGGCGAGUGAAGCGGCAAUAGCUCAAAUUUGAAAUCUGGCUCUUUCAGAGUCCGAAUUGUAAUUUGUAGAGGAAGCUUCGGCUUUAAACUUCAGUUAAAAUUCUUUGGGAAGGGGUGUCAUAGAGGGUGAGAAUCCCGUUUAUGACUGAAAAGUUUUUUAAGCCAUGUGAAGCUCCUUCGACGAGUCGAGUUGUUUGGGAAUGCAGCUCUAAAUGGGUGGUAAAUUUCAUCUAAAGCUAAAUACCGGCCAGAGACCGAUAGCGCACAAGUAGAGUGAUCGAAAGAUGAAAAGCACUUUGGAAAGAGAGUUAAACAGUACGUGAAAUUGUUGAAAGGGAAGCGCUUGCAAUCAGAUUUUGCUUAUAAUUGAUCAUCUAAGUGUUUUUUUCACUGGUGCUACUCAGUUAUAAUCAGGCCAGUAUCAGUUUAGACGGCUGGAUAAAGGCUUUAGGAAUGUAGCUCUCUUCGGGGAGUGUUAUAGCCUAAGGUGGAAUGCAACCUGCCUAGACUGAGGACCGCGCUUUCGGGCUAGGAUGCUGGCGUAAUGGUUGUAAGCGACCCGUCUUGAAACACGG
rnacentral:rRNA from 1 species